rnacentral:rRNA from 1 species
GGGCCCGCACAAGCGGUGGAGCAUGUGGUUUAAUUCGAUGCAACGCGAAGAACCUUACCUGGUCUUGACAUACACAGAAUCUUGUAGAGAUACGAGAGUGCCUUCGGGAAUUGUGAUACAGGUGCUGCAUGGCUGUCGUCAGCUCGUGUCGUGAGAUGUUGGGUUAAGUCCCGCAACGAGCGCAACCCUUGUCCUUAGUUACCAGAGGGUUAAGCCGGGAACUCUAAGGAUACUGCCAGUGACAAACUGGAGGAAGGCGGGGACGACGUCAAGUCAUCAUGGCCCUUACGACCAGGGCUACACACGUGCUACAAUGGUAGGUACAGAGGGCAGCUACACAGCGAUGUGAUGCGAAUCUCAAAAAGCCUAUCGUAGUCCGGAUUGGAGUCUGCAACUCGACUCCAUGAAGUCGGAAUUGCUAGUAAUCG